AAGUCGUAACAAGGUAACCGUAGGUGAACCUGCGGUUGGAUCAUUAAAAUUUUGCCUGAAGGGGGGUUUGACUUGUUUGUGUAAUUGUUACAAUGGGAGCACGGGAGCGUCCGAUGUGCAAUGGAGGAAAGGUAGGAAGCAUGUCGGACUCCACCUGCUUUUCGGAUCCGGAAGUGGUCUUUGCACACCACUCCCCAACGCAGGCGGAACCACCGCGGGGGUGAUGGGUUGGGAGGUCGUUCCAAUCGCAUUGGGGAGGGCCACUCGGGAGUCUUCCCUGAUCCCAAUCAAUUAUGCAUUCAAAUUUUGCCCCCACCUUUUUCAUUUUUUUCGGUUGCUCUGUCUGAAACUUUUUUUUCUGUACGCAAAGUACGAACAACUUUUGGCAACGGAUCUCUUGGUUCUC
rnacentral:misc_RNA from 1 species